rnacentral:rRNA from 1 species
GACGAACGCUGGCGGCGUGCUUAACACAUGCAAGUCGAACGCUGAAGCUUGGUGCUUGCUCUGGGUGGAUGAGUGGCGAACGGGUGAGUAAUACGUGAGUAACCUGCCCUUGACUCUGGGAUAAGCCUGGGAAACUGGGUCUAAUACUGGAUAUGACAUGCCACUGCAUGGUGGUGUGUGGAAAGGGUUUUACUGGUUUUGGAUGGGCUCACGGCCUAUCAGCUUGUUGGUGGGGUAAUGGCCUACCAAGGCGACGACGGGUAGCCGGCCUGAGAGGGUGACCGGCCACACUGGGACUGAGACACGGCCCAGACUCCUACGGGAGGCAGCAGUGGGGAAUAUUGCACAAUGGGCGGAAGCCUGAUGCAGCGACGCCGCGUGAGGGAUGACGGCCUUCGGGUUGUAAACCUCUUUCAGCACGGAAGAAGCGAGAGUGGCGGUACGUGCAGAAGAAGCGCCGGCUAACUACGUG